rnacentral:rRNA from 1 species
GACGAACGCUGGCGGCGUGCUUAACACAUGCAAGUCGAACGGAAAGGCCCUGCUUUUGUGGGGUGCUCGAGUGGCGAACGGGUGAGUAACACGUGAGUAACCUGCCCUUGACUUUGGGAUAACUUCAGGAAACUGGGGCUAAUACUGGAUAGGAGCUCCUGCUGCAUGGUGGGGGUUGGAAAGUUUCGGCGGUUGGGGAUGGACUCGCGGCUUAUCAGCUUGUUGGUGGGGUAGUGGCUUACCAAGGCUUUGACGGGUAGCCGGCCUGAGAGGGUGACCGGCCACAUUGGGACUGAGAUACGGCCCAGACUCCUACGGGAGGCAGCAGUGGGGAAUAUUGAACAAGGGGCGGAAGCCUGAUGCAGCAACGCCGCGUGCGGGAUGACGGCCUUCGGGUUGUAAACCGCCUUCGCCUGUGACGAAGCGUGAGUGACGGUAAUGGGUAAAGAAGCACCGGCUAACUACGU